AGUUGAUUUUUAGUGGUUAGAUCCUUAAAGAAUCUAAAUGGAAAUAGAGAACUUGCUCAUUUUAAUGUGGGGAACUUUUGUCAGAAACAGGUUGCUAACAGAAGACUUCUCGCCUUGACAGCUUUGAGGAGAGGACAGACAUCUGAGAGAAUUUCCUUUUCCCAAGGCAAACAGGCAGGAGUCAGAAUAGACGCAACAUAAUCCACUGAUGACUAA
rnacentral:lncRNA from 1 species